GACCAAAACAAAACCCAACACGAGCCAGCCUGAGCACAGACAUGCUAAGAUCACUGGUAACGCACAAAGUCAUGAUGUCAGCGAAGCAGCAAGUGUGUCACACACAAACCUUUACACCUUGCUCAGGAAAGCCAAGUCAGUCACCUAUGAAGCUAAACAUUCAAGAUCUGAAAGUGCAGUUUGACCUGUUGGAUUCCUUUCUGUUCCAAACAACUCACUUUGUGGAUAGCUAUUACAUUUGGUGCUGACUCACUGACUAUUUACAAGGUUUUAUUUCCAUUUUUUGAAAGUGCUUUGUUUCUCUGUUUUUAGAAGCUUAUACAUUUCAAUUUGUUUUGUUUUGACAGUAAAUAAAAUACCAACAUACUACAAAAAUGUACUUUUCUGUACUUAAAAUAAUUUUCAGUUGGUAUAAAUUAAAAAGGUUUCAUCUAUACUAAGGUAAACAAAAUUAAAUUUAAACUUAAACAAUCAUAUCUAAUCUCAUUAUUUUUUUACUGAUAAUUUCAUCCUCAGAACUCUCCAGAGUGUAGCAUCUAGCUGUUUGAUACUCUAAAGCAAUUCUGAGGGGAAGCUGAGAUGUCCUCGUGAAAGAGUGCUACUCAAAAUGAAAUGUCAAGGUUGGCAGGUCUGGGGCGUUGAGGUCACAUUCCCUCUGGGCUCAAUACAGCCUAAAGGCAGGAAAGGAAAAAAGCCUUUUCAGGGUCUUGGCCUCUGCAGAAUCAUUUCCACUAAUUCUGUUUUCUCUGUAUAUUCAUAUAUAUUUAGAUUUGCCAUUUUCAUAUUUCUUGUAUUCCAAUAUUGUAAUUUAAGGCUCAUCCAGGUAGAUUGUCUAAUUUUGUUCAUGACAAUAUGUAAAUUCAUAUCGAGGGAAGACUUUUUCAUUCAAUUGUUAACAUAAAUGAAAAAGCUGCUGAAAAUGAGCAUUGUACAGUUUAAUUUGAAUGAUCUUGAACAAAGCUUUUGGGAUGAUGUUUUCGGCCGUUUAGACUCUUAUUUUCAGGGUUAUUAAUCUCUGUCUCCAGCUCUUUUGUUUUGUAGAAGCAGUUUAUGGGCCGGACAGACGUGUGAAGGCCAGCGAUGUGGAAGACCUCAUCGCAGAGACGCUGAGAUUCGCGCCUCACACAGGAGGAAAGGAACGACAGGCAACUUCGUGGAACUGAUAGUGAAGUCGGGCAAUCAUUCCUCUGAGGGUACAGCAAUGCAGAAUGAGAGAAACUAUGAGGACUGUUGAUCCAAUUGGGACACUUUUGCGAAGACUUGGCAUGAACGUUACCCAACGAAGAGCCUACAGUGUUCCUUCUCCUUUGUCACUCUGGCACAUAGAUGGGAAUCAUAAGUUAAUUCAAUGGAGGAUAGUCAUUCAUGGCGGCAUUGAUGGCUACAGUAGAAAAAUAGUGUAUCUGAAAGCCAGCAACAUCAACAGAGCUUGUACAGUUUUUGAAAGCUUUGUUGGAGCUGUAUAUCAGUUUGGCUUACCAUCGCGAGUCCGAAGUGACAAAGGCCUUGAAAACAUUGAAGUGGCUCGAUUUAUGCUGGAGCAUCCUCGUCGUG